CCGGUCAAAAAUAUCACACAUGGUUUAUCUAGAGCGGUAUUCAAUGCUAUGCAUUUUCAAUUUCUAAAGCGGACAUUAUUUUCACACUCACAGGCUACUGAUCACUGGCCUCACACUUCAUUGAAAAUAUCUCGCACCCGAUGAGUCAAAGCUGUUAAGCCGGUUUUCCACUAGCGAUUUUUUUCGCGCGAAGCGACAUUUUGCUAUUGUU